rnacentral:lncRNA from 1 species
CCCCUGCAUUCACUUCAAAGAUGUCCCUACAAAUAAUACAACACUACAACAUAUCUACAAGAUGAAAAGAGGUACACAUCACAGUACAGUUUAUUUCAAAUGGGCCAUCAAUCCACAACGAGAUGAGAAUACCAUUCAGAUAGUCAAUGAUAAUAUGUUACGUGUGCUUCUAUUCUACCAAUAUUUUAAAGGUGAGAUAUUUGGAUUUUCAAUGAGGUGAGGUGUAUGGAGUAAGCUUUAAAAUAUAUAACUUGUAUCAGACAGAAACAUAUAAAGGAUAUAAUUUUUUUAUUUCCACCUGAAUAUCCUGCUUGGAUUUAAAUAGCAACAUUCUGACAAUCUGUAUCCUGCAUGUGCAGAAAUAUUGGAACAAAUAAAUCAAAAGGUUCCAUGCUUAGCUUCAGUACCAUGUGUUACGACAUGCUAGAAAGUAGAAAAGAUUAAACUGUGCACUAUAGCAGAUCUUCCCAUGCCAAAAUUCUGCACCUCAUUCCAUGAAAAUUGUCAUCUUGCAUGAAUCAUUAUGGCUCCCUUCUUUCACUUGUGAAAGAAAAGUAAAGACAAAUAUUUAUGCCUCCAAUAGAAGGUGGGGAGUAAGGUUAAAAUGCAUGACUUACCUGAGUCUCAAUCUCCAAGUUAUACCUCAUUUCAAAUAGAUUCUCCCAUGAUCCUUAGGGUGAUCUCUAACAGCCUCACCUUUCCAAACAUAUCUUAGAUAGUCAUUGUACACAAUCUUGUGAUCAUCUAAAAUCCUCCAGUAGUAAGCUUUGGAUGCUUAUUUGGAUGCCAUUAAACACAUCAUAUCGAAUUCCAAAGCCAUGAAUAUUGCUGUGCACCUGGGUCCAAAAAUAAAAACUCUAAGGAGAUAGUUUCAAAACUUUACAGCUUAGUCUCAGGUAUAUGCAGCUAGCAUCUGAAAAGUUUCAAGAGAUGACCGACAUACAUCCAGAAUUUUCACCACAAAGUGGAGAAACAUACCAUGUACUUGAUGCAAUUAUUAAUUUUCCAAAAGUUUCCGAUGCAAGACUAGUAACCAUAAGUGAUAUCUUUCUAGCAAUCUAAAGAAUCAUUUUACAAAACAGAGUCAUCAGCUUGAAAGCUUAUCACAAAUACUUGCCAACGCAUCUGAGAUGCCACCAGCAGAUUAAAAUUACAUGCUCCACAAAUGCUGAACCUUGAGAUCAUCUUCAAUUUUUGCAGGUCUAUCAAAUUAGCUCUAGGGGCUGAUUGACGCUGCUUGAUUUUAAAAGUGCAGUUUGUCCAAAGUCAAGUAAAACCCUUGCAUUUGUUACCAACACGACUUACUUAUAGAAACGAGCAAGUCAUCGAAGUGAUACAUCAUACAAAAAUCAAAAAAAUUUCUUCCCUCUUAGUUUGAUAUCCAAAACAAAGAACAAAUCCGAACAAAUAACUGGAGCUUCAGAGGUUGAUAAAUGAUCAAGUCACAAAGUUUGUCAUGGAGUACGCACUAAGAAAAUAAUAAAUAAAGAAAAAUAUUUCUUCUCCUGACAAGAUCCAAACAGAGGAGGGUUUUUUUUUUCCCCCCGCGUGGGGGUUGGCCGGGGGCGAGAGAGAGAGAUUAGGGCCUCCAAACUCUAGGGAUUAAAGCUCCCCGUUUCACAUGAAUCGCAUCACAGAUUCUAGACAAAAAAAGAAAAAAAAUCACAAACACAUCAAACGCACUCAACACCAUAAAGCAGUUCUCCAUCUAACAGAAAACAAAAAGGAAGAUCAAGAAAAUGCAUGAAGGUUAAAAGGGUAAAGAAGGAGAGAUGAAAAGACGAAGGCAGAUGAGGAGACUGACCUCCGAUGCCGAGAUUGGCGGCGAGGAGAAGCGGCACGAUGCGACGAAGGAAGCCCUUCUUCGCCGCAGAUGGAGGCGGAGGAGUCGAGGCAGCACUAGAAGAAGACAUGGACGACGAGGAGGAGGCAACGAGACUCGGGUUGGGGAGUAGGAGGCCCGCUUCGACUUUCCUCGCUGCAGCAAAGGGAACCAAGAUCUAUCAAGCUUCUUUUCCUCCGCAGAGAGGCACUUCUGCCGGCCAUCGGGGUUCUCUCUCUCUCUCUAUAUAUAUAUAUAUACAUGGUUAGGAGGAAAAAUAACUUUAAAUACUGAA